UGUCUUUUAGCCCAGUCCUGCGGGAAAUUAGACCACAGGGUCAGAACAGGGAUUAGUGGGUGAUUUCCAGGGUUUCUGGCUUCCUGGUCCCGCACGGGUGGGUCCGACCACAGGGUCAGAACAGGGAUUAGUGGGUGAUUUCCAGGGUUUCUGGCUUCCUGGUCCCGCACGGGUGGGUCCGACCUGUCUGCUGGCUGGCUCUGAGCUGGGGUGGGGCCCGCAGAUGCCCAAGGCUCCUUCCCCCUCAGGAGCUCAAGCCCCAGCAGUUGCUGGAGUUCAAGAACAAGGCCGUCAGCUCUGCCGAUCCGUCCUCGAAGUCUCAGGACUGAAAGGCCGUUGGAGCUUUCCUGGGGCUCCUUGGGGGCCGCCCCUGGACCUGCGUGGGCAGCGGGGACGGCCGAAGGGGGCUGCACGAGCUUGCCGGAGCUGCCAUAACAAUCCGUGCAAACUCAGCGCUUCAGUCACAGGACGCAUGAGCCCUAAAUCCAGGAGGCUCUCAGGGACAGUCCGCUGCUCAAGCCCCCAGCUCUGGAGGUGCCUGCAGUCCUCGUCUCCGGCCCUUUCUCCAUCUCUGGGCUGGUAGCAUGUUCCUUCCUCGAUCUUGGCCUCUGACCUCGCGCCUUCUCUCCACCCUGACCUCCUCCCCACUUCAGCAGGAACCCUGACGAUGGCACUGGGCCCACGAGCAUCAUCCAGUAUCACCUCCGUCAUCUCAAAACCCUCCCCUCGGCCCUGUCUGCAGAGUCUUUUUCAUAUGUGGAUUCCCUAGUCACAGGCCCUGGGCGUCAGCACAUGGGUCUCUGUGGGGGGAGGGCUGUCAUUCUGUCCCCCAGAGAGUCACCACCUGAUCCCCGUCACCCCAGCUCCAGCUCGGCCUGGGAAAGCGCCCCUGGGCCUGAACAACCCCCUGGCAGAGGCUCGGUGGGGCCUGAUCCUCAUUAGGGCCUAAUGAGGCUGACCACCAGCACCGAUAAGCUGGAGGCGCGGGGCUCCUUCAUUACCGGCUGCAGAACCUAAUUAUGGAUGUGGAAUAAAUUACG
rnacentral:lncRNA from 1 species